GGACUAUAUUUUCACUAUAUUUUCAACUAAUUAAUCUCCAGGAAGAAGUUGCUUAAGUGAUUCUUAAAGAAGGGUAAGGAGAGGUAAUGAUUCAUACUCCUUGAAAAUUAAAUCCGUAUUUUUAUUUAUUUGUAUUAUCUUUAA